rnacentral:rRNA from 1 species
UCUAGCACCUUCGGUGUUCGAGUUGUAAUUUGAAGAUGGUAACCUUGGGUUUGGCUCUUGUCUAUGUUCCUUGGAACAGGACGUCAUAGAGGGUGAGAAUCCCGUCUGAUGAGAUGCCCAUUCCUAUGUAAGGUGCUAUCGAAGAGUCGAGUUGUUUGGGAAUGCAGCUCUAAGUGGGUGGUAAAUUCCAUCUAAAGCUAAAUAUUGGCGAGAGACCGAUAGCGAACAAGUACAGUGAUGGAAAGAUGAAAAGAACUUUGAAAAGAGAGUGAAAAAGUACGUGAAAUUGUUGAAAGGGAAGGGCAUUAGAUCAGACUUGGUGUUUUACGAUUAUCUUCUCUUCUUGAGUUGUGCACUCGUAUUUCACUGGGCCAGCAUCGAUUCGGAUGGCAAGAUAAUGGCAGUUGAAUGUGGCUUCACUUCGGUGGAGUGUUAUAGCUUCUGCUGAUAUUGCCUGUCUGGAUCGAGGGCUGCGUCUUUUGACUAGGAUGCUGGCGUAAUGAUCUAAUGCCGCCCGUCUUGA